GGCCGCAGCAGUGGCUCUCCCUGACCCCACGAAACGGCACUUGGGAUACGGCUUGCACGGAGGAUACGGAGGAUACGGCCUCGGAGGAUUUGGCUUGGGAGGCUACGGAGGCUAUGGCUAUGGAUCCCACUAUCCUUAUUACGGAUCCUACUAUGGAUAGAUAACGAAGGACCAAGUAAACACCUUUAACAUGGACUUCGUUUCCUGCCAUUCAGCUGAUGAAAAAAUUUGUAUAUAUCACUUUAAACAUCAUCCAAUAAAGUUUUAACUCUA